rnacentral:rRNA from 1 species
CACCUACGGGUGGCAGCAGUGGGGAAUUUUGGACAAUGGGCGAAAGCCUGAUCCAGCCAUUCCGCGUGCAGGAUGAAGGCCCUCGGGUUGUAAACUGCUUUUGUACGGAGCGAAAAGCCUUUCUCUAAUACAGAGGGGUCAUGACGGUACCGUAAGAAUAAGCACCGGCUAACUACGUGCCAGCAGCCGCGGUAAUACGUAGGGUGCGAGCGUUAAUCGGAAUUACUGGGCGUAAAGCGUGCGCAGGCGGUUUUGUAAGACAGAGGUGAAAUCCCCGGGCUCAACCUGGGAACUGCCUUUGUGACUGCAAAGCUGGAGUGCGGCAGAGGGGGAUGGAAUUCCGCGUGUAGCAGUGAAAUGCGUAGAUAUGCGGAGGAACACCGAUGGCGAAGGCAAUCCCCUGGGCCUGCACUGACGCUCAUGCACGAAAGCGUGGGGAGCAAACAGGAUUAGAUACCCUGGUAGUCCACGCCCUAAACGAUGUCAACUGGUUGUUGGGUCUUCAUUGACUCAGUAACGAAGCUAACGCGUGAAGUGACCGC